UACGAAGGGGGCUAGCGUUGCUCGGAAUGACUGGGCGUAAAGGGCGCGUAGGCGGCUUGCACAGUCAGGCGUGAAAUUCCUGGGCUCAACCUGGGGACUGCGCUUGAGACGUGUGGGCUUGAGUGGGGAAGAGGGUCGUGGAAUUCCCAGUGUAGAGGUGAAAUUCGUAGAUAUUGGGAAGAACACCGGUGGCGAAGGCGGCGACCUGGU
rnacentral:rRNA from 1 species